rnacentral:snRNA from 1 species
GUGCUCGCUUCAGCAGCACAUAUACUAAAAUUGAAAUGAUACAGAGAAGACCAGCAUGGCCCUGAGCAAGGGUGACAUGUGAAAUGAUUGUAUUAAUUGUCCAAAUUAAU